AGAGUUUGAUCAUGGCUCAGGACGAACGCUGGCGGCGUGCCUAACACAUGCAAGUCGAACGGAACUUUAUUGAAAGAUUCUUUCGGGAUGAUUUUGGUUAAGUUUAGUGGCGGACGGGUGAGUAACGCGUGAGUAACCUGCCUUUGAGAGGGGAAUAACAAUCUGAAAAGAUUGCUAAUACCGCAUAACAUAUACGAAUCGCAUGGUUUGUAUAUCAAAGAUUUUAUCGCUCAAAGAUGGACUCGCGUCCGAUUAGUUAGUUGGUGAGGUAACGGCUCACCAAGACCGCGAUCGGUAGCCGGACUGAGAGGUUGAACGGCCACAUUGGGACUGAGACACGGCCCAGACUCCUACGGGAGGCAGCAGUGGGGGAUAUUGCGCAAUGGGGGCAACCCUGACGCAGCAACGCCGCGUGAAGGAUGAAGGUUUUCGGAUUGUAAACUUCUUUUAUUAAGGACGAAAUUUGACGGUACUUAAUGAAUAAGCUCCGGCUAACUACGUGCCAGCAGCCGCGGUAAUACGUAGGGAGCAAGCGUUGUCCGGAUUUACUGGGUGUAAAGGGUGCGUAGGCGGCUUUGCAAGUCAGAUGUGAAAUCUAUGGGCUCAACCCAUAAACUGCAUUUGAAACUGUAGAGCUUGAGUGAAGUAGAGGCAGGCGGAAUUCCCCGUGUAGCGGUGAAAUGCGUAGAGAUGGGGAGGAACACCAGUGGCGAAGGCGGCCUGCUGGGCUUUAACUGACGCUGAGGCACGAAAGCGUGGGUAGCAAACAGGAUUAGAUACCCUGGUAGUCCACGCUGUAAACGAUGAUUACUAGGUGUGGGGGGUCUGACCCCUUCCGUGUCGGAGUU
rnacentral:rRNA from 1 species